GGUUCCUGUGUGCGUGUGUGCGAGUAACGCAUCUAUUCCAGCGAGGAUCUUGGUGGAGAGCCUGGGCAGCCUUCACAGGUGGAGCUCAUUGGCCUCAUCAGAGUGCUGGGGAUAAAGGAGCAGCAGAGCCUUCACUCAGCGCUGGAUGAUUAAUGUCUACUGGUAGUCAUUCUGGCCACCUCUUGUUGUCGGCUAUUUUUAGCUUUUGAUCAGUCUCUUGAGAACCAACCUGAAGUUCAUAGUUCUUGUUUUUGCUUCCUUUAGGUUUUUGUCACUGGAUCUCUCUAGAAGAAUCAGUUCAACUGUUUCCCCUCCUGUGAAACUCCCCAGCAAGUACCAACCUACCUGCCUGCUCCACCAUUCCCCCUCAUCUCCGCACAGGACCCCUGGGCACCUUUCUUCCACGCUUCACCAAGUCCAUUCAAAAACGCCACGGAUCGCAUGACACUGCCACUCCCUGAUACAUCAAGGAGACCUGUAAAUUGUUGCUUGUUGUUUGAGGGAAAUAAAACCUAUACCU